CGCGGGGUGGAGCAGCCUGGUAGCUCGUCGGGCUCAUAACCCGAAGGUCGCAGGUUCAAAUCCUGCCCCCGCUACCA
rnacentral:tRNA from 3 species